GACGAACGCUGGCGGCGUGCUUAACACAUGCAAGUCGAACGGAAAGGCCCUGCUUUUGUGGGGUGCUCGAGUGGCGAACGGGUGAGUAACACGUGAGUAACCUGCCCUUGACUUUGGGAUAACUUCAGGAAACUGGGGCUACUACCGGAUAGGAGCUCCUGCUGCAUGGUGGGGGUUGGAACGUUGCGGCGGUAGGGGAUGGACGGGCGGCUUAUCAGCUUGCUGGUGGGCGAGUGGCUUACCAAGGGUUUGACGGGUAGGCGGCCUGGGAGGGAGGACGGCGUCAUGGGGACUGAGAGAGGGACCAGAGUCGAACGGGAGGCAGAAGGGGGGAGUAUUGUACAGUGGGCGGGAGUGGGAGGAGGCGACGCCGGGGGCGGGAUGACGGCCUGCGGGGUGUAAACCGCUUUCGGCUGAGACGAAGCGGGUGUGACGGUAAUGGGUAAAGAAGCACCGGCUAACUACGUG
rnacentral:rRNA from 1 species